UACGUAGGGUGCAAGCGUUAAUCGGAAUUACUGGGCGUAAAGCGUGCGCAGGCGGUGAUGUAGGACAGAUGUGAAAUCCCCGGGCUCAACCUGGGAACUGCAUUUGUGACUGCAUCGCUGGAGUACGGCAGAGGGGGAUGGAAUUCCGCGUGUAGCAGUGAAAUGCGUAGAUAUGCGGAGGAACACCGAUGGCGAAGGCAAUCCCCUGGGCCUGUACUGACGCUCAUGCACGAAAGCGUGGGAG
rnacentral:rRNA from 1 species